GCCGAAUGUGGUAGUGUGUGCCUGUAGUCCCAGGUACUCAGGAGGCUGAGGCAGGAGGAUUGCUUGAGUCCAGGAAUUCUGGGCUGUAGUGUGCUAUGCCGAUCAUGUGGCCCCACUAUAAGUUCAGCAUCAAUAUGGGGACCACCCGGGAGUCGGGGACCACCAGGUGGCCUAAGGAAGGGAAAACUGGCCCAGGUCAGAAAUGGAGCAGUUCAAAAAUCCUGUGCUGAUCAAUAGUGGGAUCAUGCCUGUGAAUAGCCACUGCACUCCAGCCUGGGCAACACAGUGAGACCCCCAUCUCUU
rfam:Nomascus leucogenys chromosome 14, whole genome shotgun sequence.